rnacentral:rRNA from 1 species
AGUGAACGCUGGCGGUAGGCCUAACACAUGCAAGUCGAACGGCAGCACAGUAAGAGCUUGCUCUUACGGGUGGCGAGUGGCGGACGGGUGAGGAAUACAUCGGAAUCUACUUUUUCGUGGGGGAUAACGUAGGGAAACUUACGCUAAUACCGCAUACGACCUACGGUUGAAAGCAUGGGAUCUUCGGACCUUGCGCGAUUGAAUGAGCCGAUGUCGGAUUAGCUAGUUGGCGGGUUAAAGGCCCACCAAGGCGACGAUCCGUAGCUGGUCUGAGAGGAUGAUCGGCCACACUGGAACUGAGACACGGUCAAGACUCCUACGGGAGGCAGCAGUGGGGAAUAUUGGACAAUAGGCGCAAGCCUGAUCCAGCCAUACCGCGUGGGUGAAGAAGGCCUUCGGGUUGUAAAGCCCUUUUGUUGGGAAAGAAAAGCAGCAGGUUAAUACCACGCUGUUCUGACGGUACCCAAAGAAUAAGCACCGGCUAACUUCGUG